rnacentral:RNase_P_RNA from 1 species
GGAGCUGACCAGACAGUCGCUCUUUCCACGCCAAACACGCGGAAUGGGAGGAAAGUCCGGGCUCCAUCGGGCAGGGUGCCAGGUAACACCUGGGAGGCGCAAGCCUACGGAAAGUGCCACAGAAAAGAUACCGCCGGUUGCGGCUUGCGCCAACGCCGGUAAGGGUGAAAAGGUGCGGUAAGAGCGCACCGCGCCGCUGGCAACAGUGGUGGCAGGGUAAACCCCACCCGGAGCAAGACCAAAUAGGGGAACACGCCGCUUCGAGCGGCAGCGUGCGGCCCGUGCGCGUUCCCGGGUAGGUCGCACGAGGCGUGCGGUGACGCACGUCCCAGAUGAAUGACUGUCCUCGACAGAACCCGGCUUAUCGGUCGGCUCCUGAC